AGCAGCCACGGUAAUUCCAGCUCCAAUAGCGUAUAUUAAAGUUGUUGCAGUUAAAAAGCUCGUAGUUGAAUUUCGGGAUUGACACAUCGGUCGUGCCUUAAGGGGUAUGAACUGGUGUAGUCAAUUUCUCACCUUCUGGAGAACCGCGAUGCCCUUAAUUGGGUGUCGCGGGGAACCAGGACCUUUACUUUGAAAAAAUUUAGAGUGUUUAAAGCAGGCAUUUUGCUUGAAUACAUUAGCAUGGAAUAAUAAAAUAGGACGGCAUGAUUCUAUUUUGUUGGUUUCUAGGAUCACCGUAAUGAUUAAUAGGGAUAGUUGGGGGCAUUAGUAUUCAAUUGUCAGAGGUGAAAUUCUUGGAUUUAUUGAAGACUAACUACUGCGAAAGCAUUUGCCAAGGAUGUUUUCAUUAAUCAAGAACGAAAGUUAGGGGAUCGAAGACGAUCAGAUACCGUCGUAGUCUUAACCAUAAACUAUGCCGACUAGGAAUCAGACGAUGUUAAUUUUUUAAUGACUCGUUUGG
rnacentral:rRNA from 1 species